rnacentral:rRNA from 1 species
CGGUCUGGUGGCGAGUGGCGAACGGGUGAGUAAUGCAUCGGAACGUGCCAUUGAGUGGGGGAUAACGUAGCGAAAGUUGCGCUAAUACCGCAUAUUCUGUGAGCAGGAAAGCAGGGGACCGCAAGGCCUUGCGCUCUUUGAGCGGCCGAUGUCAGAUUAGCUAGUUGGUGAGGUAAAGGCUUACCAAGGCGACGAUCUGUAGCGGGUCUGAGAGGAUGAUCCGCCACACUGGAACUGAGACACGGUCCAGACUCCUACGGGAGGCAGCAGUGGGGAAUUUUGGACAAUGGGGGCAACCCUGAUCCAGCCAUGCCGCGUGAGUGAUAAGGCCUUCGGGUUGUAAAGCUCUUUCGGCCGGGAAGAAAUCGCAUGGGCCAAUACCCUGUGUGGAUGACGGUACCAGAAUAAGAAGCACCGGCUAACUACGUGCCAGCAGCCGCGGUAAUACGUAGGGUGCGAGCGUUAAUCGGAAUUACUGGGCGUAAAGCGUGCGCAGGCGGUUUUGUAAGACAGGCGUGAAAUCCCCGGGCUUAACCUGGGAACUGCGUUUGUGACUGCAAGGCUAGAGUACGGCAGAGGGGGGUGGAAUUCCACGUGUAGCAGUGAAAUGCGUAGAGAUGUGGAGGAACACCAAUGGCGAAGGCAGCCCCCUGGGUCGAUACUGACGCUCAUGCACGAAAGCGUGGGUAGCAAACAGGAUUAGAUACCCUGGUAGUCCACGCCCUAAACUAUGUCAACUAGGUGUUGGGUGGGUAAAACCAUUUAGUACCGUAGCUAACGCGUGAAGUUGACCGCCUGGGGAGUACGGCCGCAAGGUUAAAACUCAAAGGAAUUGACGGGGACCCGCACAAGCGGUGGAUGAUGUGGAUUAAUUCGAUGCAACGCGAAAAACCUUACCUACCCUUGACAAGCCAGGAACUUGCCAGAGAUGGCUUGGUGCCCGAAAGGGAGCCUGGACACAGGUGCUGCAUGGCUGUCGUCAGCUCGUGUCGUGAGAUGUUGGGUUAAGUCCCGCAACGAGCGCAACCCUUGUCGUUAAUUGCCAUCAUUUGGUUGGGCACUUUAACGAGACUGCCGGUGACAAACCGGAGGAAGGUGGGGAUGACGUCAAGUCCUCAUGGCCCUUAUGGGUAGGGCUUCACACGUCAUACAAUGGUCGGUACAAAGGGUUGCCAAGCCGCGAGGCGGAGCCAAUCCCAGAAAGCCGAUCGUAGUCCGGAUUGCAGGCUGCAACUCGCCUGCAUGAAGUCGGAAUCGCUAGUAAUCGUGGAUCAGCAUGUCACGGUGAAUACGUUCCCGGGUCUUGUACACACCGCCCGUCACACCAUGGGAGCGGGUUCCGCCAGAAGUAGGUAGCCUAACCGCAAGGGGGGCGCUUACCACGGCGGGGUUCGUGACUGGGGUGAAGUCGU